GGAGAGGUGGCAGAGUGGUCGAAUGCACCGCACUCGAAAUGCGGCAUGGGUGGAAGCCCAUCGGGGGUUCGAAUCCCCCCCUCUCCGCCA
rnacentral:tRNA from 1 species